rnacentral:rRNA from 1 species
AUACGUAGGUGACAAGCGUUAUCCGGAUUUACUGGGCGUAAAGGGCGUGUAGGCGGUCUUGCAAGUCAGAAGUGAAAUUCCUGAGCUCAACUCGGGCGCUGCUUCUGAAACUGCAGGACUUGAGUGCUGGAGGGGAUAGCGGAAUUCCUAGUGGAGCGGUAAAAUGCGCAGAUAUUAGGAAGAACACCGGUGGCGAAGGCGGCUAUCUGGACAGUAACUGACGCUGAGGCGCGAAAGCGUGGGGAGCAAACAGGAUUAGAUACCCUGGUAGUCCACGCUGUAAACGAUGAAUACUAGGUGUAGGGGGUAUCGACUCCCUCUGUGCCGCAGUUAACACAAUAAGUAUUCCGCCUGGGGAGUACGGCCGCAAGGUUGAAACUCAAAUGAAUUGGCGGGG